rnacentral:sRNA from 1 species
GGUCGCAGAUACAGAGAUGGAUGAAGAGAGGAAAAGAACAAAAAGUAGACC